rnacentral:rRNA from 1 species
UGGUGGAGUGAUUUGUCUGGUUAAUUCCGAUAACGAGCGAGACCUCUGGUGCUUGUUGCGGGGUGUGGGCCGGAAGGUCUGUGCGUUUCGCCAAGCACGACAGACCACGGUUAGUGGUUGGAAGUUAGAGGCGAUAACA